rnacentral:rRNA from 1 species
CACGUAGGGGGACGAGCGUUGUCCGGAUUCAUUGGGCGUAAAGCGCGCGUAGGCGGCUCGGAAAGUCGGGCGUGAAAUGCCGGGGCUCAACCCCGGGACUGCGUCCGAUACUUCCGAGCUGGAGGUAGGGUAGGGGGAGAUCGGAAUUCCUGGUGUAGCGGUGAAAUGCGCAGAUAUCAGGGGGAACACCCGGGUGGCGAAGGCGGAGUCUCUGGGCCCUUACCGUGACGCUGAGGCGCGAAAGCUAGGGGAGCGAACAGG